CCUACGGGAGGCAGCAGUGAGGAAUAUUGGUCAAUGGGCGCUAGCCUGAACCAGCCAAGUAGCGUGAAGGAUGACUGCCCUAUGGGUUGUAAACUUCUUUUAUAUGGGAAUAAAGUGCAGUAUGUAUACUGCUUUGCAUGUACCUUAUGAAUAAGGAUCGGCUAACUCCGUGCCAGCAGCCGCGGUAAUACGGAGGAUCCGAGCGUUAUCCGGAUUUAUUGGGUUUAAAGGGAGCGUAGGCGGGUGGUUAAGUCAGUUGUGAAAGUUUGCGGCUCAACCGUAAAAUUGCAGUUGAUACUGGCAGCCUUGAGUACAGUAGAGGUAGGCGGAAUUCGUGGUGUAGCGGUGAAAUGCUUAGAUAUCACGAAGAACACCGAUUGCGAAGGCAGCCUGCUGGACUGUAACUGACGCUGAUGCUCGAAAGUGUGGGUAUCAAACAGGAUUAGAUACCCCUGUAGUC
rnacentral:rRNA from 1 species